GACGAACGCUGGCGGCGUGCUUAACACAUGCAUGUCGAACGCGCCUGUCCUCUGGGUUUCUGGGGGGUGGGUGAGUGGCGAACGGGUGAGUAACACGUGAGUAACCUGCCCCCUUCUUCGGGAUAACGGUCUGAAAGGGCUGCUAAUACCGGGUAUUCACUGGUCUCCGCAUGGGGUCUGGUGGAAAGGUUUUUUUCUGGUGGGGGAUGGGCUCGCGGCCUAUCAGCUUGUUGGUGGGGUGAUGGCCCACCAAGGCUUUGACGGGUAGCCGGCCUGAGAGGGGGACCGGUCACAUUGGGACUGAGAUACGGCCCAGACUCCUACGGGAGGCAGCAGUGGGGAAUAUUGCACAAUGGGCGCAAGCCUGAUGCAGCGACGCCGCGUGAGGGAUGGAGGCCUUCGGGUUGUGAACCUCUUUCGCCCGUGGUCAAGCCGCGACGUGGGUCGUGGUGAGGGUAGUGGGUAAAGAAGCGCCGGCUAACUACGU
rnacentral:rRNA from 1 species